rnacentral:rRNA from 1 species
UACGUAGGGGGCAAGCGUUGUCCGGAUUUAUUGGGCGUAAAGAGCGUGUAGGCGGUUUGGUAGGUCCGCUGUGAAAACUCGAGGCUCAACCUCGAGACGCCGGUGGAAACCAUCAGGCUAGAGUCCGGAAGAGGAGAGUGGAAUUCCUGGUGUAGCGGUGAAAUGCGUAGAUAUCUGGAGGAACACCGGUGGCGAAGGCGGCGACCUGGUCCUUGACUGACGCUGAGGCGCGAAAGCGUGGGGAGCAAACAGG